rnacentral:rRNA from 1 species
UGGGGAAUAUUGCACAAUGGGGAAGACCCUGAUGCAGCGACGCCGCGUGAAGGAUGAAGUAUUUCGGUAUGUAAACUUCUAUCAGCAGGGAAGAAAAUGACGGUACCUGACUAAGAAGCCCCGGCUAACUACGUGCCAGCAGCCGCGGUAAUACGUAGGGGGCAAGCGUUAUCCGGAUUUACUGGGUGUAAAGGGAGCGUAGACGGCUUAGCAAGUCUGAAGUGAAAGCCCGCGGCUCAACUGCGGGACUGCUUUGGAAACUGUGGAUCUAGAGUGCCGGAGAGGUAAGCGGAAUUCCUAGUGUAGCGGUGAAAUGCGUAGAUAUUAGGAGGAACACCAGUGGCGAAGGCGGCUUACUGGACUGCAAUGACGCUGAGGCACGAAAGCGUGGGUAUCGAACAGGAUUAGAUACCC